CCCAAAACGAGACAGAAAGAGCAAAAUCCUUCCUGUGGUGGAGCUGCUGUGGGAGGAGAGCUCUUGCCUUCUGGAAGAGGAAGCAACCUUUGCAGCUGUGAAACCUGAGAGAACAAUGGAGGUUGUGUAGACCAGAAGUUACAGGGGGCUGCUCUCAGGGCUUGAUGCCAGAGAUGUCCCACAGCAGCAAUCUUUUCUCUGUAAUAAAUUCUAAACUUCUCUUGACCUUAUUGCUGCAUUCUGGGCUGAAAUACAUCUGAACAACUGAUGGGAGGCUGAAUUUGAACUCAGCUUUUUAUUCCUGCCUUAGCCAUGCAGUGGAAGAACAUCUCAUACCACACCCUCCAUCUUGCUGUUGUGAAUUAAGUUGCUUUUUCAAGUGGUUCCUCACAUGCAGGUGUUCAGGCUUUGGGACAUCUGUGCAGCUGGUGCUGGCUGUCAGCUGGAGGUACAACGACUGAUACUGAACUGAUAAGGCUGGCUCUAAGUGGUGGCUUUGAGGGGAUGGUCUAGGCUAUGUUAGCUGUGUCCUCCAGGGUAGCAUUCCUCUGAUCUAAAAUAUAUCCCCUGAAUGUGUUUUUGUGAGCUGAAUGAUGAUUUGCACAGAGU
rnacentral:lncRNA from 1 species